UACGAAGGGGGCUAGCGUUGCUCGGAAUCACUGGGCGUAAAGGGUGCGUAGGCGGGUCUUUAAGUCAGGGUGAAAUCCUGGCGCUCAACUCAGAACUGCCUUUGAUACUGAGAUCUUGAGUUCGGGAGAGGUGAGUGGAACUGCGAGUGUAGAGGUGAAAUUCAUGAGAUAUUCGCAAGAACACCAGUGGCGAAGGCGGCUCACUGGACCGGUAUUGACGCUGAGGUGCGAAAGCGUGGGGAGCAACAGGAUUAA
rnacentral:rRNA from 1 species